rnacentral:rRNA from 1 species
AUUGAACGCUGGCGGCGUGCUUAACACAUGCAAGUUGAUCGGUAACGCGGGGGCAACCCUGGCGACGAGAGGCGGACGGGAGAGGAACGCUUGGGAAUCUGCCUAUCAGCGGGGGACAACACGGGGAAACUCGUGCUAAUACCGCAUACGCUCUACGGAGGAAAGCCGGGGACCGCAAGGCCUGGCACUGAUAGAUGAGCCCAAGCCGGAUUAGCUAGUUGGCGGGGUAACGGCCCACCAAGGCGACGAUCCGUAGCUGGUCUGAGAGGACGAUCAGCCACACUGGAACUGAGACACGGUCCAGACUCCUACGGGAGGCAGCAGUGGGGAAUAUUGGACAAUGGGGGAAACCCUGAUCCAGCGACGCCGCGUGGGUGAAGAAGGCCUGCGGGUUGUAAAGCCCUUUCGGUAGGGACGAAAGCUCUCGACCUAACACGUCGGGAGGUUGACUUAACCUACAAAAGAAGCACCGGCUAACUCUGUGCCAGCCGCCGCGGUAA